GACGAACGCUGGCGGCGCGCCUAACACAUGCAAGUCGAACGGAGCUUAGAGAGCUUGCUUUUUAAGCUUAGUGGCGAACGGGUGAGUAACGCGUGAGUAACCUGCCCUAGAGUGGGGGACAACAGUUGGAAACGACUGCUAAUACCGCAUAAGCCCACGGUACCGCAUGGCACUGAGGGAAAAGGAUUUAUUCGCUUUAGGAUGGACUCGCGUCCAAUUAGCUAGUUGGUGAGGUAACGGCCCACCAAGGCGACGAUUGGUAGCCGGACUGAGAGGUUGAACGGCCACAUUGGGACUGAGACACGGCCCAGACUCCUACGGGAGGCAGCAGUGGGGGAUAUUGCACAAUGGGGGAAACCCUGAUGCAGCGACGCCGCGUGGAGGAAGAAGGUUUUCGGAUUGUAAACUCCUGUCGUUAGGGACGAUAAUGACGGUAC
rnacentral:rRNA from 1 species